rnacentral:rRNA from 1 species
AGAACGAACGCUGGCGGCAGGCUUAACACAUGCAAGUCGAACGGUUGUAGCAAUACAGCAGUGGCAGACGGGUGAGUAACACGUGGGAACCUUCCUAGGGGUACGGAACAACUCAGGGAAACUUGAGCUAAUACCGUAUACGUCCGUGAGGAGAAAGAUUUAUCGCCCCUAGACGGGCCCGCGUAGGAUUAGGUAGUUGGUGAGGUAACGGCUCACCAAGCCUACGAUCCUUAGCUGAUCUGAGAGGAUGAUCAGCCACACUGGGACUGAGACACGGCCCAGACUCCUACGGGAGGCAGCAGUGGGGAAUCUUGGACAAUGGGCGCAAGCCUGAUCCAGCCAUGCCGCGUGAGUGAAGAAGGCCUUCGGGUGUAAAGCUCUUUUACCAGGGACGAUAAUGACGGUACCUGGAGAAUAAAGCCCCCGGCAAACUUCGUGACCAGCAGCCGC